GGAUGAGUUGCGAACGGGUGAGUAACGCGUAGGUAACCUGCCUUGUAGCGGGGGAUAACUAUUGGAAACGAUAGCUAAUACCGCAUAACAAUGGAUGACACAUGUCAUUUAUUUGAAAGGGGCAAUUGCUCCACUACAAGAUGGACCUGCGUUGUAUUAGCUAGUAGGUGAGGUAAUGGCUCACCUAGGCGACGAUACAUAGCCGACCUGAGAGGGUGAUCGGCCACACUGGGACUGAGACACGGCCCAGACUCCUACGGGAGGCAGCAGUAGGGAAUCUUCGGCAAUGGGGGCAACCCUGACCGAGCAACGCCGCGUGAGUGAAGAAGGUUUUCGGAUCGUAAAGCUCUGUUGUAAGUCAAGAACGGGUGUGAGAGUGGAAAGUUCACACUGUGACGGUAGCUUACCAGAAAGGGACGGCUAACUACGUGCCAGCAGCCGCGGUAAUACGUAGGUCCCGAGCGUUGUCCGGAUUUAUUGGGCGUAAAGCGAGCGCAGGCGGUUUGAUAAGUCUGAAGUUAAAGGCUGUGGCUCAACCAUAGUUCGCUUUGGAAACUGUCAAACUUGAGUGCAGAAGGGGAGAGUGGAAUUCCAUGUGUAGCGGUGAAAUGCGUAGAUAUAUGGAGGAACACCGGUGGCGAAAGCGGCUCUCUGGUCUGUAACUGACGCUGAGGCUCGAAAGCGUGGGGAGCGAACAGGAUUAGAUACCCUGGUAGUCCACGCCGUAAACGAUGAGUGCUAGGUGUUGGAUCCUUUCCGGGAUUCAGUGCCGCAGCUAACGCAUUAAGCACUCCGCCUGGGGAGUACGACCGCAAGGUUGAAACUCAAAGGAAUUGACGGGGGCCCGCACAAGCGGUGGAGCAUGUGGUUUAAUUCGAAGCAACGCGAAGAACCUUACCAGGUCUUGACAUCCCGAUGCUAUUUCUAGAGAUAGAAAGUUACUUCGGUACAUCGGUGACAGGUGGUGCAUGGUUGUCGUCAGCUCGUGUCGUGAGAUGUUGGGUUAAGUCCCGCAACGAGCGCAACCCCUAUUGUUAGUUGCCAUCAUUCAGUUGGGCACUCUAGCGAGACUGCCGGUAAUAAACCGGAGGAAGGUGGGGAUGACGUCAAAUCAUCAUGCCCCUUAUGACCUGGGCUACACACGUGCUACAAUGGUUGGUACAACGAGUUGCGAGUCGGUGACGGCGAGCUAAUCUCUUAAAGCCAAUCUCAGUUCGGAUUGUAGGCUGCAACUCGCCUACAUGAAGUCGGAAUCGCUAGUAAUCGCGGAUCAGCACGCCGCGGUGAAUACGUUCCCGGGCCUUGUACACACCGCCCGUCACACCACGAGAGUUUG
rnacentral:rRNA from 1 species